rnacentral:rRNA from 1 species
UACGGGGGGGGCAAGCGUUGUUCGGAAUUACUGGGCGUAAAGGGCUCGUAGGUGGCCAACUAAGUCAGACGUGAAAUCCCUCAGCUUAACUGGGGAACUGCGUCUGAUACUGGAUGGCUUGAGUUUGGGAGAGGGAUGCGGAAUUCCAGGUGUAGCGGUGAAAUGCGUAGAGAUCCGGCGGAACACCGGUGGUGAAGACGGUCUCCUGGGCCGAGAGCCGACGCUGAGGCGCGAGAGCGUGGGGAGCGAACCGG